AAAAGCCAUCACGAGCAGCUGUACGGUAUCGUGGCUGCACUUCGCUUUAGAACGAGUGUGUUAACGGCAGAGGGGAUGACAGUCAAGUUGGGGAAUUUCUCCUGCAGAACACUGGGUGGUUGCUCCUCCACAUCAAACUCUUCCAGAACCUUGGCCACCUUGCAGAGAGCAAAGACACGUCAUGAGGCAUUGGAUGUGUAACCCCCGAAUUCUCUUACGGUCCCAUGAAGAAGUGGGUCAGUCCGGUGAGAAGUGCCCCCACCGCCAUGAGAACGGAGCCCCCCGCGAUGAGCCUGGGCCGAUGCAUCUUGGCGCCAAAAUGGCUGACCACGGCUAGAAACAACAGGUUGCCUUCCUCCAGGAAAAGAGAGAGAGAAAAUGCAUUUCCCUGUCAUCGUAUGUAAAAAUUGACAAUGAACUGUACAGGACAACGUUGUAAAAUCAUGAAAAAAAAAGUAACCAGCGAAACACUAUGUUAAAUUUACAGUAAUAUUUUGUUAAUGACUUAACCAUCCACAAAUGCUCAUUUAAAAUUACAAAUAUGUUAAAAGAAUCAUAUUUCUCUGUAGAAUUUACAAAUACAUGUAGUGUAAACGAGGACCAGACCAAUAUGAUUUUUUUUGGGGGGGGCGAUACCGAUUCCGAUAUUUGGCCAAAGAAAGAUGUAAUGAAUAAAAUUACUCUUUUGUUGGUUACCUACAUA